CAGCACCUCAAGUGGUCAGGAUGAUUAUUGGGCCUAAAGCAUCCGUAGCCGGCUCUGUAAGUUUUCGGUUAGAUCUGUAUGCUCAACAUACAGGCUGCCGGGAAUACUGCAGAGCUAGGGAGUGGGAGAGGUAGACGGUACUCGGUAGGAAGGGGUAAAAUCCUUUGAUCUAUUGAUGACCACCUGUGGCGAAGGCGGUCUACCAGAACACGUCCGACGGUGAGGGAUGAAAGCUGGGGGAGCAAACCGGAUUAGAUACCCGAGUAGUCC
rnacentral:rRNA from 1 species